GCAGCCUCACCCAUGGACGGCUCUGUCGCGGGGGCUCGCGGUGGCACUGGGGGCUGGAGGAAUCUGUGAGGUAGCUGCGCCAGGCACAGGGGGCAAGUCCUGGGACCCAACGCGGAGGCGGGCAGAGUGGAGGUCACUGGAGGCUAGGAAGGAGUGAGGGUGGGCGGCCACCAGACAUUGCUUUCCAAAGCAUCAUGAGGAGUCUGGCCCUGCUGGACCCCGAGGCGUGCUACACUGGCCUGCUCCCCAGCUGCGGGUGUGCUGGGCAAGAUAUAAAUGUUCAUGUCACAGCAGCUUCCGCCAUGAAUACCUCCCUGCCACAUGCAAUCCAGCUGGACACUGUGCAGCAACGGCGUGGCCUCUUUCUCCAGUUCCUGUAUUUGAUUGAAUCAAUUGUCAUGUUUGGCAAUUUAGAAUAGUAUUUCAUGUGACUUUUUUUAAGAAUCUGUUGGUACAAUCAAGACUUUUUUCUCUACUUAAUUGCUAUGUAGUGGGUCAUGUUGCUACCCUUUCCCUUCUGGGCUAGAAUAUAUGAAUGUGGAGAAUGGAAACCAACAUUUCAGCUAAUUUGCCAAUUAGAAAUAAUGCACGUCUGAUUUCCAGUGUUCUUGAAUAUGCAGUGUGGGUAGAAGGCAGAUGGUGGAAGACAAGGCCUCCUGUUGGAUGCAGGUUUAAGGUUCAGCACUGUGUUAUCGGAAAAUCAAUGUGGCAGUUUGCUGUUCAUUCCAAGCCUUUUCCCCUGAAGAGUACUGACCUGAAUUUAGGGAACAUCCCUAAACUUGUUGAAAAUAAACAGAAACAUCGAAUAAAGUGCUCAGUAAACAUUAGGAUGCUCACAGCUUUGAUCUCUCAUCAUUUAAUAAAAGUAAGGACACCGAAAAUUUUCUUUAAGAUCAAAUGACUGCAAGAUCAUCUAAGAGAUCAAGAACUGGAGAAGAUUCAUCCUGGGAGGAAGUGUUCAUGGCUUCUUUUUCUCCCUGACUUACAAAUUUAGCUAUUUUAAUUUUGUAUGGCAUAUAGCACUUAACUGCUUAUGUUCAAACCAAUGCUGAUAACAUUUCAGUUGUUGUCAAGUUCAUUGUGCUUUGAUUCAAAAAUGUUAAAAUCAUGUAAAAUCGGAGUUGCCCCCAAACAUAUAUUUUUUUUCUAAGAUAACUCGUGUAAAUUGGAUGUGCUACCCCUUUCUUCAGAGUUUAUUGGUCAUUGCAUUAAAUUAGGUUUGGCCCCUGGAUGCCCCCACGACUGAGUCCUGGGUCACACACUGCAAAGCUGGUGAGGGCUGAGCCCAGCGCGGAGGACCCUGCAACAGGCAGCGACCCAGGGCAGCGGCUCUGCCAACCGCAGAGUCCGGCCUCGGCCCCUCGCACCCUGUGAGGCUGUUUCAGGCGUCCUGGGCUCCGGUCCACAAGAACUGCCCUACCUCUCUGUGAGCCCACCUUCUCCGAAGCUUCUCCAAUCCUGGGGGCUACCAGGCCAGUGAGUCCUUCUUCUUCCUUUUAUUC